rnacentral:lncRNA from 1 species
AGUCUGCACCCCCACCUGGCCUGGAAACCCAUUAUUAAGAAACCUCCCUGACAGUGUUUCCUCUUGUGUAAUCUUAGAUGGUCCACCUGCUUGUGAGUUUCCAUCUCAUGAUGCUGUCUUACACACGUUGAUUGUGGUUUUUGAGUUCAAAACCUGCUCCCCCAGAAGAGUAAGGGUUGCAGUGGCAGCAGCUGCAUCUGUGUUGUAUCCCUGACUGCUCAGUUUGCUGUUCAAAUCAACAAAGUUUCUCUGGUUAAAGAACAACAACAACAACAACAACUUGGUGUGUUCCUGUUGUUGGAUUUUCACCAGACUCUCCGCACCAUCGCACACCAACAUUUUGGGGGUUUGUCCAGGAUCCAGAGCCCUGAUACAGAAGUGCAAUUUUUUGAAUUGGCAACUUCAGGGGAAACACUGGAGGCCUGGGAAUGCAUCUUCUGGGAAGCCAGGAAAUUGCUUCCUAGUGACAACAGUCACCCUUCAUAUGCCCAGAUUGGAACCCUAAUGAGGCAGCAGCCCAUGGUAACCUUGAAAGUGGAGGAAAAACCAAUGGACUUUCUGGUAGGCAUGGAAGCCAACUGAAGGAACCAAAGUGACUCCUAGCCACGAGAUGCAGCCUGGUGCUAAACAAUACCCCCAGUACAAGGAAAUGCCAUGUCAACCUCGAAAAAGAUGAUGUUACUCCAAUAUGCAGAUGACCUCAUCAGGGCAGCCAGCCAACAUGGACACGUGCACAAUGGCCACUCAAGAGCUCCUAGGACCUCUCCAAUGCCUGAGAUACUUGAUGGAUGUGCACCAAGAAGGCCCAACUCUGCAACCGGAAUGCCACAUACUUGGGAUUCCAUGAAGGGAGGAAGUCCUAGUUUAUGUCAUGUGAACAGGAAAUCUUGGGUUGGCGAGAUGGCUCAACGGCUAAGAACACUUAUUGCUCUUCUGAAGGCCCUGAGUUCAAAUCCCAGCAAUCACAUGGUGGCUCACAACCACCUAUAAUGAGAUCUGAUGCCCUCUUCUGGUGUGUCUGAACUCAGCUACAGGGUACUUAUGUUUAAUAAUAAAUAAAUCUUUGAGCCAGAGUGAGCAAGUUUGACCAGAGCGAGCGGGGCCGAGUGGAGCUAGUAAAGGUCCUAAAAUUUCGAUUCCGAACAACCACAUGAAGGCCCACAACCAUCUGUACAGCUACAGUGUACUCACAUAAAAUAAAGAAAUCUUUAAAAAAAAAAAAGCAAUCUUGAGAAUUCCCAACCUAUCAACAAAAAGGCAAAUCAGGGAGUUUUGAGGGGUCAGCAGGAUACUGUAAGCUCUGGAUUCCUGGAUUGGCUGAAUUAGGCAGACCCUUUAUUUGAUGUCACCCUGAGGCCUAAUAAUACCUUUCAAUGGACUGAGGUUGAAGAUAAUGGCCUUCAAACAGAUUAAACAAGCCCUGCUUUCUGUGCUAGGUGUAUCACUUUCUGACAUUAGAAAGUUUUUACACUGGUUUGUGGAUGAGAGGAGGAGGACCCCUAAGAGGUUGUCACUCAAACACUUGGCCAUAGCAGUGCCAGGUGCCUACCUUUGAAAAGAAUUAGACCCUGUGGCUAUCAGCUGGCCUGCCUGCCUGAGAAUUAUUGCAGCCAUAGCCUUAUUGACAGAAGACUCAAAUAAAUUGACUUUUGGACAGAACUUGAUCACUACCACUCCUCCUGUGGGAAAGACCCCACUCAUGAGCCCCCUGUGACCACUGCAUGACUGGUGCACAGCAGACUCAGCAUCAGGCCCUCCUCUUGAACCAACCAAACAUAACUUCUGACCAGUGGGCUACCUUCAACCUUGCUGCUCUGUUGUCUGACGCCAAGGGGAGCCCCUCUAUGAUUGACACUAGCCCUCAAGCCUGCCAGAGAUCUGCUGAAUAUGGCAUUUAAGAUAUUUAUACUUACCGUGGCAGACAGAGGUCCAGGUCCUAGAAGUGACCCCCAACGUCUACGGGAAAAUAAUAAACAGAACCACAAACUCCCACUAAAGUGUAACCGACUGCUUCCUAUUUGGCCACAAGCUCAAGAAUUUGAAUUUCCUUCGGUCAUCUUCUAAGUAUAGACUUAAUGAUGCUUCUCAAUGGGCUGAAACAUCUCUGUUCAAUCUAUGUACCUGGCUCUCUGCAGAGGGAAAGAAAACGUUCAUGAUUUCUAACACAAAGCUAUAGUUUUUGCUUAGACUCAAAGGUGGGAGUCUACUCCUGCUCUUUUACAGACGCCUGUUCGCUACUUUUUCUACGAUGUAGAUUCCGGUACGAUGGCAUUGCCAAUGUAUCUCCUUUUGGAAAGGAAAAAUUCAUGUAAGAUUCAGGGUGUCAAAGAAGUCAUAAAACUUGGACCCACCUGUCUCAGGUCAAAUGGAUCCCAGUUAUCUACAACCUGAGUCUCCUGAGAAUGGGGUUUGCCCUGGUCUUGGGAUGCCUCUCCUUCCCCAAUUUCAAGGCAAAUUUUAUGUCUUUCCUAGUCUAUGUUUGUCUCAGAAGAUUUUCACUUGCUCACAGACUCCAUCCCGGGUCACCUAUGCACUGCAAACUGCUGAACCCUAGACUUGCUGAAAGCUUAUACAAACCAGCCCAACCUAUGUGAUUGCUCCCUGUCUCUUCAGCUUGGCCAGCUCAAGAUGCUUCUGAUAAAUGCCCCAUUGCUCAGCCCUUGGGAAGCCUUUCAGCCUGCCUGGGCCCUGGCAUCAGUAGCCUAACAUGAGCUGGAAGUACUUACAGAGGAGAAUGGCAUCCCUUGACCCUUGGUCCUCUCCCUGCAACACCCUGCCCCCUUACCCAACAGGCUGAAAUGGUAAGUUAAAAAAAAAAUUAAAUAACUCCCUGACAUAGGGGACAAAAGUGCAAGCCAAUUGACACACCAGAAAAGUGGGCCCAGAUUGGUGAACAGGUAGAUUUAUUAAAUAAAACAGUUCUACUAUAUUAUAGGACACUUGACCUGUUUCAUGCAGGAAAAGAGAUACCAUAUGGCUUUUAAAAAGUUGUUUCUGUACAAGACAUUAGGAAUUGUACUUUGACUGUACUCAAGAAACAAUAUAAAAAAAGAGACUUGAGAUAAAGUAAAUGGGGCUGGAGAGAUGGCUCAGCCGUGAAAGGCUAGGCUCACAACCAAAAAUAUAAGAGAUAAAGUAGAUGACUGGUAGCCUGUCCUUCUAGACAGUAACUCUGAUGUCAGCGAUCACAGGGCCUUUGGCCCUCCUGCUUGUACUAGUUUACAACGACUGAUACAAUAAUUAAAUGAUAAUUCCUUUCUGGA